GCGGAAGUAGCUCAGUCGGUAAUGGUGGUAGCUAGUAGUCUAGAGGUCACAGGUUCAAGUCCUGCCUCCCUCC